UUCUUUUGCAUACGGGGCCCGUCUUAGUGUCUCGCUGACCCUGGUAUGCCCCGCCCGGGGAGCGGCCCUGGGGCUGCGCGGGGGCGGCUGCAGGGAGCCGCCAGGUUGGGGCGCAGAGCGGGCCAGGCCCCGCGUUUUGCCGGUGGUCGCAGCCUCGCUACAGCCGGGCGCUGCUGGUGGCGAUGCCCCGGUGGCGCCGCAGCCAAAGGCCGAGGCCCUGAGAGCAGCCGCAGCCGGGCGCCUGCGGGGUGGCGCAGGGCCCAGACCAGGUGCUGAGAGGACGCGCCCCGCUAUUGCCUGCGCCGGGCUGCCCGCAGUGCCUGGGGAGGUAGCUCCCCAUGCCAGGCUGAAGCUGGCCAGCAGGCAUGGUAGAUGCGUGCUUGCACGGAGGAACUAAAUAAGCUGUAAAGCGCAUAACGCUGUCCUGAACCCAAGCGCACUCAUCAGGUGCUGUGAAAGGAGGUGCUGAAAGCAGAGGAUGGGAAGGAGAGAGAAUUGGAGUAUGAAAGACGAGGGCAAUGCUGGGAGGAGCAAGCAAGCAAACGCCAAGGACCAGCCACCGAGCUCCCCUCCUGCAGCAAAACGAGAAUCUGGACCCUUGUCACCUGCUGCUGCCUCUGGCCCUGGGAACAGAGGGGAUGCAUUAAGGCCGGUCUAGACAGGGGCUGGCGCUCGACCCGUCCUGAUAGACUCGCCAGCUGCUGCUGCUCCAGGGCCCGGAUGAUGUCAGUCUAACCCAGGUCCUCAGCAAGGCCCUUUCCCCAUGACCCCACCUGGAAUCCCCAUGCAAGAAUAACAAACUCCUUGACCAGCUGCAGUGAAGGGCACCCUGAUAGAGGAGGCUAGAAGAGGCUCCUUCAGCUGGCAAGGGGAGGGCUGGGUGGUGAGUAUGUAUUCUCCAUGUAUACAGUAUCAUCAGGGUGCAAGAAGCACCAGCCCCAAAAACAGGUGGAAACAAACCAGCCAAGGAGACAGUGAAGUCAGAUGAUGGGGAAGGAUCCUACUCAUGGAGCAGCAAGUACCCGAGACAAUAUCUCCCUAGGACUGCAGGCAAGAGAUCAAGCUGGUUUUGAGCUGGCAUUUGAUAAUGUUACAUAUGGGAUUGUCAGAGGGAGCUGCCUUUGACAGCAGGACUGGACUCCAGUGUUCCUGUGUGUACAACAGGUGUAUGUGUGCAUGCAUGUGCACUCCUGUAUUUCCAUGUAUCCAAAUCCAUGAAUGCCUGAGCAUGUGUUGUAUUCACACACUUGUGUGAGCAUAAGUAUGUGUGCAUGCAUGUACAAACAUAUUUGUGUGGUGUGCACGUACAUAUGAUUUUAUGUACAGAGGUGCAUUGGUUCUUGUUUGUGUGUGUGUACACAUUUGUGCUCAGGCACAUGCUCUGAUAUGUGCUUGGGAUAUGUGGUAUAUGCAGACAUGUAUGUAGUGUUUGUAGAAGCACAUGUAUGUGCCUGAUGCAUAUAAUGCUUGCUUGUGUGCAUGCUUGUAUGUGCACAUUUGUGCAGGCACAUGUAGGUCAUUGAGGCCAUUCUCUCUUCCUCUUUACACUGCUUCAGCCCCAGCUCAGUGGAUCUGGCAGGGGGCAGCUGGAGUGACAAAUUCAGAGCAGCCCCAAGGUGGAACAGUGCAGGGAUUAACCUGAAACAACCUAUCAGGGAACAAGGUUCUCCAGCAGAGUGAACCAUUAGGUCUGACCUCCGGGGACUAGGUGCCAGGAUCAGGUCUUCAAAGAGCCCCCAGGCCUCCAGUGUUAACAGGUAAGAGCCCUGGGGUCAUGUACUGGGCUUCAUCCCAUUUCAGUUUGCGGCUCCUUCCCCUGGGUCACUAUGGCCCUGCCUCACAGUGCCUCACAGCCAGUGGGGUUCUGCAGACAACAGUACAGCCCUUUCACAAUAGGCCAAUGUCAAUGAGUCAGGCAGAAGCUAGGAUGUUUGUGCUUGAGCUUAGGAUGCAAAGCCAAACCUGUCUCCUGGCAGGUUCCACAGCCACUCUCCACCCUGCCUGGGGGAGCAGACUCCACGCUUACUGUGACCAUGGCAAAGGGUGGCUGAAGCCAGGGGAGUUUGUGAUUUCACAGCCUGCUCAGCCUGUGUCCCAGGUGUUCCCCUUUCCAGUCAUUAGGAGAGACUGCUGGCCCUGCUCUUCCAUACCCCACCCCAGAAAGUACAUCUAGCCAGUUCAGCCCAGUCUAGCAUCAGGGGACUUCAGGGAGGGCCAUGGAUCCAAUGGCACCACAGCUGCUGUGGCUAUCCAGCUGCUGCAGGGCCAAGCAUUGCUUUACAUGCUCCAUGCACCCGCUAGAGGUAUCCCUCCUUGGCAUGCACCCACCAGCACUUGGAGAAACGAAAUGUCUUGGAUUCUUGAGCCCAACACAAAAGUCAUGUGACCCAGGAGCACCUUGCUCUCUGCUCCCCCCUUGCUGAAUUGAUGAAGACUUACUCUAACCCCACACACACCAUCUCCUGCUGCCUGGUGGUCGGUCACUGCCAAGGGCCCAGGUCUCAAGGCACAGAGUGGAUGUGAUGCCGUGCAGGAAAGGCUUCCUAAGGCUGCAAGCCAGGGUUGAGAUGAGGCUGCAGGCACUUGCAGGGUAAGUUUGUGCUCUCUGGGAGCUGGGAUCCCUUCCCCUGGUGUGUGGGGAAAAAGGAUUGCUGUCUGGAGGUGGGACCUUUCUGACAAAGAUGGGGAACAACAUCUUCAGGCAGCAUCUGGCUGAACCAGGGAGGAGCUGUUAAACUAGGUUCUACGGGUGAUGAUGGAAAAAACCCACUGGCCACAGUGCAACCAACAGUGAGGCAGGAAGACUGAGAAAAAGACCUAAUUCUGCAAAAGGGCUGGGGAACUGCAACAGGCAGGGAGAAAAAAAAAACAGAAAAGCAGUGUCUUCAGUGUGUGUUGUAACAGGGGGCAUGCUCAGGGCCAGAUCUCGUGCCAAACCAUCCACCUGUUUCUAUGGGCCUCCUCACCUGCCUUAAUGAUACAUAAUUAUGUUGUUAGGCAGGAGGCUGCCCAUUCUUGCCCCAAUGCCAGGGGGUACUAUCUGUGGCCCCAUUCCUCCCCUACACCACAGCCCAAGCCUUGCAGGUGGCAUCCACAGUUCUUAUAACAUCACCGGCCCCAGAAUCCUUCAGUCCAGACCCCAACUAGAUCCCUCCAAUCAAGCAACCUACUCUGCCCUCAUUCUCCGCUGCCUAGCUCCCUGAACUCUUCCCUCUUGAGUGUGCCCCCCUCCCCAAGACCUUUGGCCACACAGGCCCUGGCCUCACCUCCAACGCCAGUCGGAAACCCCAGGCCCUCAGCUCUAGCCAUCCCUCGCAGUGAGCCCCUGGCCCUUUUAACCUUUCUGGUCCUGGCCCAAUCGUUAACCAGUCAAGGGUGUUGCAAGUCAGGUCUCUGAGCCUCUAGCCCACUCUCUAACUUGGGCCUGCCUUCUUGGCCCUUCUAUGGGGUAACCCACCUGGUUGUGGAAGCUGGGGCUAUUAAGGCACCCAAACUCGCCUUUCACCAGGGUGGUAACUGGCCUAGUAUUUCCUGGGGGCUCCCACACCACCAGGCCACCCCCCCCCAGCAGGGUGCAGUUUUAGGUCAUGCCCAGGACCAGGAGCCUCCAAACCAUCCCCUUAAGCUCCUGCCCUUACCUCCUGAAUGUUGCAUUUAGCCUUGCAGCCAGAUGAUGUUUCUGCCUCCUCUGCCAGCAGCAAACUGCUCUGUUUAUAUAUGCAGCCACCACAACCAAGCACCUGCUGGCUGUUUGGCUCAGCCCUUAAAGUGGCAGGCACCAGCAGUGGCCUGCCACAGUGUAUAAAAGCAGGGAGAGGGGGCACAAGGGAUGAACUGGGAGUCAUAGCGUGCAAACAAAGCCGUGGCUUGGUGGGAGAAUUCCCAUGAAUUUAACCUGGAGGGGAACAUCAACAUUGUUUUGGAAGGCAAGGCCUAGCAGAAAAGGAGGCGUAGUGUCUCUGUAUAUCAGGGGUAGGCAAUUAUUUGGGCCUGUGGGCCACAUAGGCAGUUUUGAUGAGCUGUGGUGGGCCAGGUUAGCACCUCCCCCCACCCCCAUGCAACAGCUCACCAAAACUCCUUAAGUGGCUCUGCUCUGUACUGUGUGUGGGACCCAGCCCCACGCUGUCCCCACUCAGUGAUCUUGGGGUCUCCAUGGAGAUCAGCUACAACCUACGUGGCCAGGGUGCAUAGCCAGGUGGAUGAAAUGGGGCCAUGGGUGGGCAGGGAACUGCAGCAGCCAUGCUGCCCCAGCCUCACUGCAGGCCUGGGGAUGGUGGGACUAGUCACACGUGCCACAACCUGAGCUGCCUCCUGUACUUGGGCAGGGUGGGACUAAGGGACCCACCACAGGUUAGACAAAAUUCACCCCAAAGUGAUGAAGAAACUAGCUGGAGAAAUCUCAGAGCUACUGGUAACUUAUUUGCAGUCACGGGUGACAGUCAAGGUCCCAGAGGACUGGAAACAGGGUAAAACUGCUCAUCUUUAAGGGGGAAAAGUAGAAGCAGCGGAAUUACUAACCAGCCAGCCUGACUUCAACAAAGUUCACAGAACCCAGUUUGUAAAUAUCUGGAGGAGAGGGCCGAUCACUAGCAGUUGGCAUGGCUUUGUUAAGAGCAAAUCCUGCCAGACCCAACUCAUCUUCUUUAACACAGUUACCAGCUGGGUAGAUGAAGGGAAUGCAGAGGGUAGUCCACUUUUCUCCACUUUGCUUAGGAUAAUGUCAUGUGGGACUUGAAUGAGAGAAAAUAACCUAGAAUUACUGUUAGGUGGACACCUCACUGGAGGAGUAACCACAAGCAGCCCAGUCAGCACACUGUUGUGGCCCAUAUGGCAUCUGGUCAAAACAUUUCCAAAUGGAUACCCAAGAAGUAAGUUGUGUGGGUGUGGCCCACGUAACACAUUGAAAGCUGCAAGUAUGGCCUGCUAUGGCAAAUAGAUUGAAAACAAGGGUUGUAUGAAACAGCACCGUUUUGUUUCGAGGGGACAGCAUUUCAUUUUGAGUUUUGCUUCAUUUCGACGCACUGUUCCAUUUCGUCAAAACUUUCGUUGUUUUGACCUUGUUUCAGUGUUUCGCCCAUAGGCUAUAAUGGGGAAGCAUGAAACUGCCUAUAAAACUUUGUCUUUUUUUGGCAGAUUUGGAUGAAAACAGCAGAGAUGGUAGCCCCUUUGGAUGGUAGCUCACCCGAAAGUGCCAGUGGUCUCCCAAAAGUGCCACUUACAGGUCAGCAGGAUUGACUGCAGGAGAGCUCCUCCCGGUCAAUGACUGACCACUAGGGGGGCAAGUGCCCCCUCUGACUAGAGGUACCAGUCACCCAUGAAGUAGAUGGAGAUCCUCUCAAAGCAGAUCUGUGGGUUGUGUGGGUUGCAAACUUAAUACGAGCCAACAGUGUGAUGUCAUUGCAGAAAUAAAGCACAGACGCUCUUGGAUGGAAUUAAUAGUGUGUAUGACAUAGGAGGUAACAGCAGCACUCAGUGCUGGUUAGGCCUCAGCAGCAGUACUGUGCUCAGUUCUGGGCUAAAAGUUUAAAGAAGAAUGUGGAGGGUCCAGAGACAGGUGACAAAGAUGACAGAUGGGGUGGAAACCAAGCUGGAAAGAUGAUUGAGAGAACUAAGUAGGUUUAGUUUGGAGUAAAUGAGCAGUAAGUUUCCAAAUACCUGAAAGGCUGCUGUAAGGAGAAGGAACAACUAGUCUCCUUUGCUGCAGAGGGCAGGAAGCAAGGUGAUGGGCUUAAAAUGGAGCAAAGCAGAUCAAUGGUGAUGCAUAGGGGGUGCAUGGGGGUGCACCCUCUAUCAGCCAGCAUUCCUGGGGGAGGGGGGCAGGCAAGUGUGUUGGUGGCCACCAAGAACACUGGCCGAGGGGCAGGGGCUCACCCAAAACUGCCAGCACUCUCCUGGAAGUGCCACUUGUGGGUCAGCCGCAGGGGGACCCCCCCAUUGAUGGCUGACCACGGGGGGGCAAGUGCUCCCCCCCGGACUCAAGAGGCACCAGUCACCCAUGAAGCAGAUGGGAGAUAGUCUCAGGCAAACACUCCCUAAUGGUCAGAACUGCAAGACAGUGGAACAAGCUGUCUAGGGAAGCUGAAUAAUCUCCCUCACUGGAGGUUUUCAAGCAGAGGCUAGAUAAUUCUGUCUGGGACAGAUUCAUAGAUGUUAGGGGCUGAGAGGGACUUCACAAGCUCAUCAAUGUCCAGCCCCCCUGCACUUGGACAGGAAAGACUGCUGGGGUUUUUUGAAGAUUUUCAGAGUAGGUGCUUGUACCACCUCUGAGUGAAGUCUGUUCUGGACCCUAGACACUCAAACAGUAAAAGAAGUUUUUCCUUAUGCCCAAUAAAAAGCAAUCUAGCAAUUUGACUGUUAUUCCUCAUCUUCCCCUGGGGUGCCUGGGUGAACAGAUACUCCCCCAGGUCCUGAUGUGCACCCCAUACAUACCUACAGGCUGCCAUCAAGUCCCCUCCAAGUUUUCUCCUCUCCAGGCUGAACAGUCCCAUGUCUUUUAGCUUCCCCUCACAUGGCCUGCUCUCCAAACCUCUAAUCAUGUGCAUGGCCCUCCUUUGAACUCUCUCAAGCUUCUCCACAUCUUUCCUGAAGUGUGGCACCCAGAAAUGGAUGCAGUACUCCAGCUGUUGCCUCACUGAAGCCGAGUAAAGCAGAAGGACAACGACAUCCUUAGUCUUGCUUGAGAUGCAUCAGUAGAUGCAUGCCAGUGUCUUAUUUGCUUUGUUGACUAUGGAAUUGCAUUGGUGGUUCACGUUCAUUCUAUGGUCUAGCACGACCCCCAGGUCUUUCAGUUGUGGUGCUAGCAAAUAUAGCACCUCCGAGCCUGUAAGUGGUGUUGCGGAUUAUUUCUCCCCAGAUGGAGCACUUUAUGUCACUCAGUGAUAAACAUCAUCAGGUUUUGAUUGGCCCACCUUACAAGCCUGUCCAAGUCAGCUGU